rnacentral:rRNA from 1 species
CGAAAGCCUGACGCAGCGACGCCGCGUGGAGGAUGAAGGUCUUCGGAUUGUAAACUCCUGUCAGAGGUGAAGAAAGCCCUUAUGGGUCUGACGGUAACCUCAGAGGAAGCCCCGGCUAACUACGUGCCAGCAGCCGCGGUAAUACGUAGGGGGCAAACGUUGCUCGGAAUUACUGGGCGUAAAGGGUGCGCAGGUGGCUGAGAAAGUCGUUGAUGAAAUCCCGGGGCUUACCCCCGGAACUGUCUUCGAUACUUCUCAGCUUGAGGAUAGUCGAGGAGAACGGAAUUCCCGGUGGAGCGGUGAAAUGCGUAGAUAUCGGGAGGAACACCAGAGGCGAAGGCGGUUCUCUAGGCUAAUCCUGACACUGAGGUACGAAAGCUAGGGGAGCG